AUACUUACCUGGCAGGGGAGACACCAUGAUUACGAAGGUGGUUUUCCCAGGGGAAGGCUUAUCCAUUGCACUCCGGAUGUGCUGACCCCUGCGAUUUCCCCAAAUGUAGGAAACUCGAUUGCAUAAUUUGUGCUAGUGGGGGACUGCGUUCGCGCUCUCCCCUG